AGAGCGUGGUGACAAUUUGGCUUGACUACAACUAUGCCUGAAUGAAGUACUUUUCCUUUUGAGAAAAAAGGAAUCUACGAGCAUGAGGACUCCCUUUUCUCCUUUUAGUUUAUUUUUUUAAGUCAUUUAUUAAUUUUCCCUUUGGUAAAAAUAAUUCCAGAGUUUGCCUUUUCUUUUUUCUUUUGAGGGGAAGGGGUAACUUUACAGGCAGUUUCCUUAGUCAUUCUAGGCAGCCAGCCAAUGAAAUAUAGACUAAACAACACAGAGGAUAUUAAUUUUACCUCACCAUACAUGCACACAGCUAGUGAUGCAUAAAGUCUUCAUUCCAAGACUGACAUUAAAAGGGUUGUGCAACUGCCUAGAUUCCAAUGUCACUAACGGUUUUCUGAGGGAGUUGGAAAGAGAUAAGAGAGAGACCUUGGGGAACAAUUUUAAAGUGGCUCAAUAGCGAUCGCAGAGCCAAACUCAUACCUACAUCAAUGUGGUGCAGAGAAUCUCUAAGAAUUUUUAAUGCUGAAUUGGAGCAAAGAAACUUCAAGGAGGAAGCAAAGUGAAGAACACAGAUUUCACAGAUGGGAUGCCUGGCUCAAAUUCCAGCUUGACCGCUGGUAGCUGUGUGACCCUCGGCAAGUUACUUGACCUCUCUCUACUCAGUGUCCUCAUCUGUCAGUGUAAUAUGAAUCAGAAAACAUGAACUCAGACUGAUGCUGGAAGCCACCUUAUGACUAUAAGCAGAAUCAGCCUCGUUAUGACGUUGAUGCUAUAAGCAACGGACUGAAAGAUACAAAGAGCAAGCAGACAGGAUGAUUUUGGUAUCUGACUGAUGCUGUCUUCGUGGAAUGAGUUAGGAAAGAGUCCCUCCUCGUCAACUGUUGGGAAUACAUUCAGCAGGGUUGGUAUCAUUGCAUGUCUGGCAGAAUUUGACUAGGAAUCCAUCUGGUCCAGGAUUUUUUUUGUUGAAAUGCGUAAAUGGCGACAGUAGAGCCAGCCUUCAUGAAUCCAGAAAUGUGAGCCACAUUUUGAGGAUAGCAGAGUCACUGCAGAAGCCUGGAUCCUUGCAUAACCUUGUCGAGUGGGAAAAUCUACCCAUACUUGACCAACCACCUAACUGGGGGCUCUACAUCUGAGAGAAAUGAUUUUUUAUCUUAUUUAAGCCACUGUAGUUAGGAGUCAGUUUAUUACAGGACAUUGCCUGGUGUUCCAACAAAUAAACUACCUUAUUUGUUUCAAUAAAUAAA
ensembl:lncRNA HAS2-AS1 HAS2 antisense RNA 1